rnacentral:rRNA from 1 species
AAAAGCUCGUAGUUGGAUUCCUGACCUGGGGUAGCCGGUCCGCCUUGCAAAAGGUGCGCACUGAGCGGCCUCGGUCAUCCUUGAGAAGAGCGGUCCUGGCAUUCAGUUGUCGGGGUCGGGAUUCUCGACGUUUACUGUGAAAAAAUCAGAGUGUUCAACGCAGGCUUACGCCUUGAAUACAUUAGCAUGGAAUAAUGAGAUAGGACCUUGGCGGUCUAUUUUGUUGGUUUGCACGCCGAGGUAAUGAUUAAAAGGGACGGUUGGGGUUCUUCGUAUUCAAUUGUCAGAGGUGAAAUUCUUGGAUUUAUGGAAGACGAACUGCUGCGAAAGCGUCGAACAAGGACGUUCUCAUUAAUCAAGAACGAAAGUUAGGGGAUCGAAGAUGAUUAGAUACCAUCGUAGUCUUAACCAUAAACUAUGCCGAUUCAGGAUUGGCGGUCGUUUGUUCUCGACUCCGUCAGCACUGUAUGAGAAAUCAAAAUCUUUGGGUUCCGGGGGGAGUAUGGUCGCAAGGCUGAAACUUAAAGAAAUUGACGGAAGGGCACCACCAGGAGUGGAGCCUGCGGCUUAAUUUGACUCAACACGGGGAAACUUACCAGGUCCAGACAUAGUAAGGAUUGACAGAUUGAGAGCUCUU